rnacentral:rRNA from 1 species
CCUACGGGCGGCACCAGUGGGGAAUAUCGCACAAUGGGCGCAAGCCUGAUGCAGCCAUGCCGCGUGUAUGAAGAAGGCCUUCGGGUUGUAAAGUACUUUCAGCGGGGAGGAAGGUGUCGUGGUUAAUAACCACAGCAAUUGACGUUACCCGCAGAAGAAGCACCGGCUAACUCCGUGCCAGCAGCCGCGGUAAUACGGAGGGUGCAAGCGUUAAUCGGAACUACUGGGCGUAAAGCGCACGCAGGCGGUCUGUCAAGUCGGAUGUGAAAUCCCCGGGCUCAACCUGGGAACUGCAUCCGAAACUGGCAGGCUAGAGUCUUGUAGAGGGGGGUAGAAUUCCAGGUGUAGCGGUGAAAUGCGUAGAGAUCUGGAGGAAUACCGGUGGCGAAAGCGGCCCCCUGGACAAAGACUGACGCCCAGGUGCGAAAGCGUGGGGAGCAAACAGGAUUAGAUACCCCCGUAGUC